rnacentral:misc_RNA from 1 species
UCUCUCUCUCUCUCUUUCUUUUUACUAAAAAGAUCAGAAACAAAGAAGAGGCAAUAGAUAAAUGUAAACUGGACCAAUUAAUUUCAGAUACACAUUUCAAAAUCCAUUAUUGGAAUUAGGAAGAAUAUUGCAAUUAAAGGUAUUGAUGUGUGGGAGAUUAAGGACAAUUGGGCAAAAAAGAGAUUAAAUAAAAGGAAAGAAAGAAAG